UUGAAACACCCAUUCUCAUUUGAUCACCAAAGUUAAACAUCAUUGAUCCUUGUCUGUAUCUAGAUGGGUGACCACCUGGGAAUAUCAGGUGCUGUAAG